rnacentral:tRNA from 1 species
GUCCCUAUAGCUUAAUGGAUAAAGCGCAACCCUCCGGAGGUUGAAAUCCCCGUUCGAGUCGGGGUAGGGGCA